rnacentral:rRNA from 1 species
AGAGUUUGAUCCUGGCUCAGAACGAACGCUGGCGGCAUGCCUAAUACAUGCAAGUCGAACGAGAUCUUCGGAUCUAGUGGCGCACGGGUGCGUAACGCGUGGGAAUCUGCCCUUGGGUUCGGAAUAACUUCUGGAAACGGAAGCUAAUACCGGAUGAUGACGUAAGUCCAAAGAUUUAUCGCCCAAGGAUGAGCCCGCGUAGGAUUAGCUAGUUGGUGAGGUAAAGGCUCACCAAGGCGACGAUCCUUAGCUGGUCUGAGAGGAUGAUCAGCCACACUGGGACUGAGACACGGCCCAGACUCCUACGGGAGGCAGCAGUAGGGAAUAUUGGACAAUGGGCGAAAGCCUGAUCCAGCAAUGCCGCGUGAGUGAUGAAGGCCUUAGGGUUGUAAAGCUCUUUUACCCGGGAUGAUAAUGACAGACCGGGAGAAU